rnacentral:tRNA from 1 species
GCCACCUUAGCUCAGUUGGUUAGAGCGUUGCCAUGGUAAGGCAGAGGUCCCCGGUUCAAUUCCGGGAGGUGGCU